UGUGUGUGUGUGUGUGUGUGUGUGUGUGUGUGUGUGUCCAGAUGUACGGAUGCCAGAUGUAUGAAAUUAAAUGUGUGAUAUGAAAAUAAAUGGAGAUACUAGGUGGGCAGAGCCAGGCUAGUGAUCUCUUAUCUGACCCUACACACACACACACACACACACACAA